GUGGGCGACGGACGUGUUAUUAUAUUAGAACAAUCGACUUUUAUUCGAGUAAAUUAAUCAAUUAGGUUGUGAUACAAGUGAAAGAGGGUGAAUAUUAAAAAUAAAAGAGGCUCUUUCCAGAGGGUUGCGCCAGGAUAAAGAAAGUAUGAAAAUGCGAGCGUAUAGUAAGUCGUGACGUCAGAAAGUCGCUGAGACCACUUCACGUCGUUCACUAAAACAAGAUGGCCGACCCUGAUGCCUUCGAU